GACGAACGCUGGCGGCGUGCUUAACACAUGCAAGUCGAACGGAAAGGCCCUGCUUUUGUGGGGUGCUCGAGUGGCGAACGGGUGAGUAACACGUGAGUAACCUGCCCUUGACUUUGGGAUAACUUCAGGAAACUGGGGCUAAUACCGGAUAGGAGCUCCUGCUGCAUGGUGGGGGUUGGAAAGUUUCGGCGGUUGGGGAUGGACUCGCGGCUUAUCAGCUUGUUGGUGGGGUAGUGGCUUACCAAGGCUUUGACGGGUAGCCGGCCUGAGAGGGUGACCGGCGACAUUGGGACUGAGAUACGGCCCAGACGCGUACGGGAGGCAGCAGUGGGGAAUAUUGCACAAUGGGCGGAAGCCUGAGGCAGCAACGCCGCGUGCGGGAUGACGGCCUUCGGGUUGUAAACCGCUUUCGCCGGUGACGAAGCGUGAGUGACGGUAAUGGGUAAAGAAGCACCGGCUAACUACGUG
rnacentral:rRNA from 1 species